GACGAACGCUGGCGGCGUGCUUAACACAUGCAAGUCGAACGGAAAGGCCCUGCUCGUGGGGGGUGCUCGAGGGGCGAACGGGUGAGUAACACGUGUGUAACCUGCCCUUGACUUUGGGAUAACUUCAGGAAACUGGGGCUAAUACCGGAGAGGAGCUCCUGCUGCAGGGGGGGGGUGGGAAAGUUUCGGCGGUUGGGGAUGGACUCGCGGCUUAUCAGCUUGUUGGUGGGGUAGUGGCUUACCAAGGCUUUGACGGGUAGCCGGCCUGAGAGGGUGACCGGCCACAUUGGGACUGCGAUACGGCCCAGACUCCUACGGGAGGCAGCAGUGGGGAAUAUUGCACAAUGGGCGGAAGCCUGAUGCAGCAACGCCGCGUGCGGGAUGACGGCCUUCGGGUUGUAAACCGCUUUCGCCUGUGACGAAGCGUGAGUGACGGUAAUGGGUAAAGAAGCACCGGCUAACUACGUG
rnacentral:rRNA from 1 species